UUAGGCUUUGUGGGACGUGAUU
rnacentral:miRNA from 1 species